GGCGGAGCGGGGCAGCCGGAGUGCCCGCCGGUCCCAUAAACCGGAGAUCGCUGGUUCGAGUCCAGCCUCCGCUA
rnacentral:tRNA from 1 species